CAUGCUGCUUUGGUUACUGUAGCUUUGUAGUAUACUUUGAAGUCAGAUAGCCUGAUGCCUCCAGCUUUGUUCCUUUUGCUUAGGAUUGUCUUGGCAAUUCAGGCUCUUUUUUGGUUCCAUAUGAACUUUAAAGUAGUUUUUUCCAAUUCUGUGAAGAAAGUCAUUGGUAGCUUGAUGGGGAUGGCAUUGAAUCUAUAAAUUACUCCCAUUCACAAUUGCUUCAAAGAGAAUAAAAUACCUAGGAAUCCAACUUAUGAGGGAUGUGAUGGACCUCUUCAAGGAGAACUACAAACCACUGUUCGAUGAAAUAAAAGAGAACACAAACAAAUGGAAGGAGAUUCCAUGCUCGUGGAUAAAAAGAAUCAAUAUUGUGAAAAUGGCCAUACUGCCCGAGGAAAGCAUUUCUAAGGAGGGACCUGAAUGAGAAGGAGUUAGUCAGAUAAAGCUGGAAAGAAAGAGUUCCAGGCAGAGAAAGUGGCUUCUACAAAAACUAUUGACAAAAACCAUUGUAUGUACAGUGUUGGGUAUUUAGGCAGUUUAUGAGGAUUAAAGCCCAAGGCAAACUAAUCAGGGUGAACAAAGAAAGGUGGCUCAGAGCAGUCUGAGCUUUGUGAGGUCUGCGAAAUUAAUGAGGCUCACAGAGAUAUGAGUGUGGGAGUGUGGUUAGGCCCCUCAGUCGUGCCUGUGGGCAAUUUUUUUUUUUUUUUUUGAGACAGGGUCUUGCGUUGUUGUCCAGGCUGGAGCACAGUGGUCUAACCAAGGCUCACUGCAGCCUUGACCUCCCAGGCAUGAGCUAUCUUCCGACCUCACCCUUCCAAGUACUUGGGACCCCAGUUGUGUGCCACCAUGCCUAGCUAAUUUUUGUGUGUGUUUUGUUUUUUUUUUUGGUAGAGACAGGGUCCCACUGUGUUGCCCAGGCUGGUCUCGAACUCUUGGGCUCAAGCAAACUUCCUGUCUCAGCCUCCCAGUGAAUUAAGAUUACAGGUGUGAGCCACAAUGCCUGGCCUAUCCACACAUUUCUAUAUGAAUUUACUUUUAGGAGAGUGGGGGAAUGAUGAAAAUUGUGUGUUAUAUAAGGUUUUGCCUAAUGUGUGAGAAACACUGGUGUAGACCAUGCUGAAGACAAUCUGGAGCCCCUGAAAGCUUUCAGGCAGGGGAGUGACAUGAUCAGACCUGCAUUUUGGGAAGAUCAUUCUGGCUGUAAUGUGGAGAACAGACUGCAAGGAGCCAACCAAGGUAGCAUGAAGACCAGCCGGAUGGCUGUUGCCAUAAUCCAGGUGAGAAAUGAUGGUGGUCUGAAGUAAGGUGUUAGUAACAGAAAUAAAGAAAGAACAUAAUGAUUUUUUCUCCCUAGAUUCUGAAAAGAGUUGGCUUCACUUUUCCCAGAAAUACAUGCUGUCAAGACCAAAUGAAUCAUAAUAUUUCAGACAUCCUGAAAGAUAAUGGGGAAAUACAGUUAUGUGUCACAUAAUGACAUUUUGAUCAAUGAUAGACCAAAUAUAAUAGUGGUUCCAUAAGACUGUAAUAGCAGUGUUACAGCUCUUUUAGAAGCAGGCUUUUUGGUUUUUGCCAGAAAGCCCAAAAUAAAAGAAAAGACUCCCAGCCCUUUGUGAGGCCAAGGUGGGUGGAUCACUUGAGGUCAGGAGAUUCUCCUGCCUCAGCUCCACACGUAGCUGGGAUUACAGCAGUAUGCCACCACACCUGGCUAAUUUUUGUAUUUUUAGUAGAGACGGGGUUUCACCAUGUUGGCAGGCUGGUGUGGAACUCGACCUCAGGUGAUUUCUGCCCACCUUGGCCUACCAAAGUGUUGGGAUUACAGGCGUGAGCCACCGCACCCAGCCCAAAGUCCCUUUUGCCAUGUAAAGUAACACUCACAGUUUCUGUGGGCAUCUUUGGGGGCCUUAUUCAGUGUGCCACAGUGUCUUUUAGCCCACUUCCAUAUAUUUGAUUAUCUAUCUUCAUUCUUACUACUGAGCAGGAUUCAGAUUAUGAUUUGACUUCUCAUGUAGGCUGUCUGCAGGGAGAAAAUGCACAGAGCAUUCACACCUUGAAGUUUCUGUCCCCAAGAUAGAGAUUUCUCAUGGUAAGUUAGUAAAGUGUCUUCUGAUGGUGAAUUGGCUUCUCUUUGCCUUGACUUCAAGGAGAAAAUGCACAAAUUAGGCAAGCAAGAAAAUUCUGGUCCAUGUGAGAGUUUAAUUUCUCAUUGUAAAUGAAUAAAGUGGCAUUUGAAUGUCUAGGAUCUCUCAGGGCCUACACCCAGGACAUUGGCGGGACUGUUUCUGGACCAUAUCCUGAAAACUGGACACCCAACUGUGGUGCUCUGUUACCUCCUGCGUGGCCCCUGCGGUCUUCCCUGGAUGAUGCCUUGACUGCUUCAUGGUCAGGUCCCUCUCCUCUGAUUUCUAGAUCACUCAUUUAAGAGGACUUAGAGUUGUGUGAAGUAAUGUUGUCCCUAAUUAAUAUGUAUAUAAUUUUACAUUGAGUUUCUGGCCAAAGGACCUAACUCCUAUUUUUUAAUGUAGAGAAAAACUCCUUUAGAAAAUAUUUCAAUGGACGUUAGAAUUUUGUUUUGUUUUUUAAGACAGAAUCUCGCUCUGUCACCCAGGUUGGAGUGCAGUGGUGCAAUCUUGGCUCACUAGAACCUCUGCCUCCCAGGCUCAAGUGAUCCUCUGGCCUCGGCCUCCCAAAUACCUGGGAUUACAGGCGCCCACCACCAUGCCUGUCUAAUUUUUUUGUAUUUUUGGUAGAGACGGAGUUUCACCAUGUUCCCUGGGCUGGUCUCAAACUCCUGUUCUCAAGUGAUCCACCUGUCUCAGCUUCCCAAAUUGCUGGGAUUACAGGCAUAAGCCACCAUACCAAGCUUGUUUUGUUUUUUUGAGACAGAGUCUUGCUCUGUCACCCAGGCUGAGGUGCAGUGGCACAAUCACGGCCCACUGCAGCCUCAACCUCCUAGGCUCGAGCAAUCCAACCACCUCUGCCUCCUGAGUAGUUAGGACCACAGUGAACCCCUAUGCCUAGUUAACUUUUAAAUUUUUUGUAGAGAUGAGAUCUCACAAUGUUACCCAGGCUAAUCUUGAACUCUUGGCCUCAAGUGAUCCUCCCCCCUCACCCUCCCAAAGUGCUGGGAUUACAGGGGUGAGCCAUAAUGCCCGGCCUAAAACAUGCUUUUAAUUAACUUUAAAAAAGUGAAUAAAAUAU
rnacentral:lncRNA from 1 species